UCGACGACGCCUUCUGUGGCCCUGGAAAAUGCCUUGACGCUCGGGGACGGCCGGUAGCUCGGCGAUUCCUCGCUUGGCGCACCAUUGAAAACCGGCGGUCAUCCAGCAGUGUACGCUGCCAGCGUAUUUUUAUUGCCAGAGGUAGCAAACAGCAGUGCCACGACAAACAGUGGAGUGCUGACCAUGCAGUCCAGAAGGUGGCUGAGGCAACAUCUUCAAAAAGCAGUGCUACAAGGAUGUGAGCAGCAGUUUCCCUUCAACGAACGGGUCAAAUUCAUGGAAGCCACGUGCCUGCUGCUUCUGGCCUACACAAAUAUGCAGCCACCAUAGUAAAGUUCUUGCAAAGACAUUCUACACGAACUUGCCCAAAGGCGGAAGGAAGGCACGCACAGAUGGACGCACAGAAAUCAUGGGGCUGCCGUAGAAGCUGUCAAUGAGCAUUAACCUACGUACAGAAAGGAGCGAAGUGGA